AUAGAAUGGCUAUAUGCCAACCAUAGAGAUGGGCGUCAAGGAAAGACUGAGAGUCGUUCAAAUCCUAAAUCCUUCUGAUUUCUUUCCCCACCCAGAACACCGGCCUGUAAUUAGUGCCUGUCUCUGUAGUACGCAAAACCAAACUUUAUAAACUACAGGGCGCAAGUAAUGCCUAAUCUGUUUGAGAUGCUCUGUGUCAGGAUCUAGGCUAGCUGAGGCGGCAAAGUAGCCUUGUCCCUGAAUUUAAGGUAACUUGGUUUUGGUAGAAAGAGCUUGUGUUUGAAAGACCAGUGUGUAGCCAGAUCCUGACUUUGUGAUGAAUUUGCCAAGUGAUCCUGAUCACUUAGCCGUUCUAAACCUCAGUUUCGGGGCGGGGGGGGAGUAUAAGGAUUAGAUGAAUUAACGUCAAUCACCUGGCACAUUCUGAGUAGUAAACAUUUAAAGGACUGGUAGGACUGAUGUGGUGUGGAAGAUUUAUGUGAUUGCAACACUUUAAUGAAUGCUAACAUGGCUGUAAACAGGCUACUUUUGAACUCUAAGGAGAGAAGGCCUAACUUUGCACAAACUCUAGUGUGCAGGCCGUGUCCGAGCCCAGCUCAGCUGAUCAGCGUGACCUUGGAGGAGCUGCUUGCCAUCUUCACCAGUGUGCUGGGGCGCUCGCCCUUUCUCCUUGUUGUUUCCCAUCACGACGUGGCCGUCAGGGGUUCCAAGAAGCUGGAAUGAGAGUAGUGCCUUCUCCGCCUCCAGGAUGUAAUCUGAGGGUGCUGACUGAGGUCUCUGGGGGGCUUGUUUGGGCUGGAACAUCCGAAACGGCUCACCCAGGUGGCAGGUGGCCCAGAGCGAUUCAUUGGAACAACUCGCUUCUCCCCAUGUGACCUGAGUUUGGCUUGGGCUUCUCCCAGCAUGGCAGCUGGCUUCCAAGAGGAAGCCUCCCAGAGCAAGUCGUCUACAAGGAAGGAAAUGGAAGUUGCCAAGCCUCCUAACCCUGGGCUGGGAAAUCCUAGAAUGCCGCUUCUGGUCAAAACCAGUCAGGGGUCAGUCCAGGUUCAAAGGGAAGGGAAACAGCCCUCCCUUUGGAGGGGAAGAGCCACCUGCGCAUAUACAGAGGGCAAGUAUUGUUUGCGAUCGCCUUGGGAAACUAGCUCCCGCCACAGAGUAGAGCGCCUGGCCUCACCUGGGUAGGUGCACAGUCAGGGGAGGGUCACCACAUCUUAGCACAUCGGCCCCUCUUGCAAGGCUGGCCCUCCUUCCUAAUGGAUCACCCGCUCUAUGGUCCUGGCAGUGAGAACGGCUGAAACUAAGCAGGAGCUGGGAAUUAGGGACGUGAAGAAAUGCAGAAACAAGGGAAGUGCAGUUAAACGAGAAGAGAAAUGACUUUCAUUCAGGGAUCAGCGUCCUUGCUCCUCCUCAAGGGAUAUACGUAAUAGUACAUCAUCGGACUCAGAUCUCCGAGUUGUUCUGCAGGAACUGAGACUUGCCCACCCAGGGGGAUGGUGAACCCUAGCAGGCAGACCCCGCACCCGACGGAGGAUGACGAUUCCUGAAACAUCACCCUGUUACCUCAUCACCAACCAAUCAGAAGAACGUCGUGCACCCUGCAGCCCUCCCCCUAAAGGCUGCUCUGAAAAACCUUUCCCUCAGGGCGUUCAGGUUUUUUGAGCUUGAGCCACCCAUACCCCAUGCUUGGCGCCCUGCAAAUAAACACCAUACGUUCCUUCAUCACAACCCCUCUCAGUAAAUUGGCUUUGUGGCACGGCUGGCAAGCCGACCCGAGUUCAGUUCGGUAAAACUGUCCUUUAAACAUUUGAUAAACUGCUGUUGAAUUCCUUCUUCA